GAUGAACGCUGGCGGCGUGCCUAAUACAUGCAAGUCGAGCGAACAGACGAGGAGCUUGCUCCUCUGACGUUAGCGGCGGACGGGUGAGUAACACGUGGAUAACCUACCUAUAAGACUGGGAUAACUUCGGGAAACCGGAGCUAAUACCGGAUAAUAUAUUGAACCGCAUGGUUCAAUAGUGAAAGACGGUUUUGCUGUCACUUAUAGAUGGAUCCGCGCCGCAUUAGCUAGUUGGUAAGGUAACGGCUUAACAAGGCAACGAUGCGUAGCCGACCUGAGAGGGUGAUCGGCCACACUGGAACAGAGACACGGUCCAGACUCCGACGGGAGGAAGCAGUAGGGAAUCUUACGCAAGGGACGAAAGCCUGACGGAGCAAAGCCGCGUGAGUGAUGAAGGUGUUAGGAUCGUAAAACUCUGUUAUUAGGGAAGAACAAAUGUGUAAGUAACUAUGCACGUCUUGACGGUACCUAAUCAGAAAGCCACGGCUAACUACGUG
rnacentral:rRNA from 1 species